rnacentral:tRNA from 1 species
UGGGGUAUAGCUCAGUUGGUAGAGUGUUUGCCUCAUGUGCACAAAGCUCUAGGUUCAAUCCCCAGCACCACAA